rnacentral:sRNA from 1 species
UACCUCAACCGCAAGGAGGGGGAUGCCUAAGGCAGGGCUAGUGACUGGGGUGAAGUCGUAACAAGGUAGCCGUACCGGAAGGUGUGGCUGGAUCACCUCCUUAAAGGGAGACCUAAUUCCGGUAGGAGACGAAAAAAAAGUAGUCCCAACCAAGAAUCAAUCCCAAAAGGUCGGAGCGAGGCGAAAUUGGCUUUCAAACUAGGUUCUGGGUUCACACAAGACCUGAAUCAGGAACAAGGGCUAUUAGCUCAGGUGGUUAGAGCGCACCCCUGAUAAGGGUGAGGUCCCUGGUUCGAGUCCAGGAUGGCCCACCUGUACAGGUGGAAGAAAGAAAAGAAGCUCCGAAUCAGCACCUUAUCUUACUUAUAUAGUAAGAGAGAAUGCUGGCUCUGAGUUCAGAGUCCAGAGGAACCUUGAAAACUGCAUAGAGCUAGGUGAAAAAGCCAAAAAAGAAGACCGCCA